UCAUUUUCCAAUUUUCUCUCUCAUCUACCUUCUCUCGUCUCUCUUCCUUUUUCUAUCAUCGUCGAAAAUUAUUUCAAUGUUGGCUCUAGUGAGCCCACCUCCAACAUUCGAGCCAGUCAGCUUACCACUGUCGACUGCUCUAGUCCACUAUCCACCGUCUCCAGUUUUCGAGGCAUCAACAUCACCAGAUCUGGCUUCUACGCACCAAAGUGAGACUUCGGCUAAGGCUCUGUCUCAGAGCAAGAGGCACACUUCACCUUCAUAUGCUUUAGCUCCGAAGCUUAUGAGCCCACCCGCAACUCCAACGGAAGCCCCCAAACCUAGGCCGAUUCUAUUCAGUCAGUGGACUUUUACCUAGUUUCAUCAAGAGAGCCACACAGAUAGUGCUUUCGGAGCAAUGCCAACGAAAUUGGCUUUAUCAAGUGUUGUUGAGCUGUGAAUGUUUGAAUUUCUGCCACUGGAAGGAGGGCUUUCCUUACUGGGAUGUUUUUGGAUCUCUAAAAGCAUAUUUUUUUAUUACAAAAAAAUGGGUUGUAAUUGAUAAAGAUUAUUCUAACCAUCACAAAAAAAAUGGUAUGGCUUACUAUUUUCGGUUAUGGUGAUGAUAAGUUGUGAUGAUGGUCUGUAGUGUGUUCAAUUUAUUUGUAGUGACCUUCUGUGAUCAAAUCUGUGUUAAUUGUGAUUAGGUAUGACCAAGCUUGUGUUAAUUGUGACUGAAUGUAAUUGUUUACGUUGUGGUGUUA